GAUGAACGCUGGCGGCGUGCCUAAUACAUGCAAGUCGAGCGAACAGACGAGGAGCUUGCUCCUCUGACGUUAGCGGCGGACAGGGGAGUAACACGUGGAGAACCUACCUAUAAGACUGGGAUAAAUUCGGGAAACCGGAGCUAAUACCGGAUAAUAUAUUGAACCGCAUGGUUCAAUAGUGAAAGACGGUUUUGCUGUCACUUAUAGAUGGAUCCGCGCCGCAUUAGCUAGUUGGUAAGGUAACGGCUUACCAAGGCAACGAUGCGUAGCCGACCUGAGAGGGUGAUCGGCCACACUGGAACUGAGACACGGUCCAGACUCCUACGGGAGGCAGCAGUAGGGAAUCUUCCGCAAUGGGCGAAAGCCUGACGGAGCAACGCCGCGUGAGUGAUGAAGGUCUUCGGAUCGUAAAACUCUGUUAUUAGGGAAGAACAAAUGUGUAAGUAACUAUGCACGUCUUGACGGUACCUAAUCAGAAAGCCACGGCUAACUACGUG
rnacentral:rRNA from 1 species